GAGUCACCAGCAGGUGGCAGCAGCGCCUCCUCUCAGCUGUCCGGAAGUCUGGACCAGACUCGGCUGUUUCUCCCAGUAAACCGGUUCGUCUCCCAGUUUUCUUCCAGUUAACGGAGUCGAAAGGCGGCUUGAAGCGGGGACAGCUCGCCGGGAUGGAAGAGCAUCAGAACGGCAGCGAGUGAGGAAGGCCGGAGUCCAGGUUCAGCAGGCGGCUGAAGGCGUCUGAUCCGCUUCAAACUCAGAACCUGUUUGCUUUACGGCAAAACUUUGGUAAAGUUAAAUUUAAUCGGCUAAAGAAAAUCAGACGGUUCGUUAUCCAACGUGAGAAAUCCCUUCAGGUCGUCAAGUUUCUGGUUUGAUCAGAUCUUGUUAUUCAUUAUGAUUAAUAAUUAACGGUUGAUUCUUUUGUAUCUAGAUGCAAAAUAAUCAUUGAAUUCACAAUUGAGGUUUUAUUAUGGGGAUGCAGCAGAUUAAAUAUUUCAUAGUAUAUUUCACUGAUUCCUUUCAUACAGUCUAAACUCCCUGAAAAGGAGAAAUGACCUUUCAGAGAAAUAUAAUUUUGAUUGCUUUGAGUUUGAUGAUAUUUUACUUAAUCUGACUGAUACGAUCUUCUUUAACUCAUAUUGAUGCUUCACAUUGAUCAUUUAUAAGCUGAUCAAUUACAAGAGGUUUACUGUCUGUUAGUGAAUGUGAUGGAGACCAUGGGUUCCAUCCCAUGUUGAUUAUUGAUAUUAUGUUGUUUUCAGUUCAAAUGUGUUUGUAUUAGUUUUUGUUUAGUUAUAUUGUGACAUUUGGUGAACAUUCUUUGUGGGGGGGAGACUGGCCAUCUUUCCUGUUCGGAGAAUGUGGGAGAGAGGGGAAAUGUCAGUUCGUUUUGAUUUAGAUUAGUUCAAUUUGAGUUAAUUGAGUAUUUGCCUUUCUGGGUGUGUCUCAGCAAGGUGGAUCAGAGAGGGAGACGAAUGCUCCUGGAGCAUACCAACUUCCAUUAAGAGGGGGAAUACUCUGAGGAUGUAUAUUUAGUUAUAUUUACUUUUGAUUGACUUUAGAUUAGUUUAAUUUUAAUAAUUUGCAUGCAUGUAAAUAUUUUUUGGACCAUUUAUUGUUAGGUUUGUGUAAGUAGUGUUUGUUUGUCUUUUCUUUUUGGAUCACCCCUUUACCUGGUGUAAGUGUUGGAACUUGCCUCAGGUAUAAAUGUCAGCUUCUUUGUUUCACUAAGUAGGGAAGGGUGCUGGUGUAAUGAAGAUUUGGAGCUCCCAAAUAAAUCCACCUCAAAGACA